AUCAGUGAUGAGGAGAGCAGGAGCCCCGGGACACUACAGAAUGAUCUUCUAUAGCUGAAUCAGCACCGUGAAGCUCAAAGCAAACCACUGGAUGAAGGUGGGAUUUUCCUGUGUAUCCUGAAUUUAGGUCAUCUCUCCUGUUCCUGGAAACUACUGUCACAAACUCCUGUUACAAAGAUGAGACAAAAUUUUAAAUGUAUUUUUCUAUUAAAGGAUGCUGUCUGUUGGGUUUAUCUAGGCACAAACCCCGCUGGAACACGAAACCAAUAACUGCACGACAAAACAAAACAAGACAGAGCACUUUGUCUUUGUGGCUCGCGAGGGAAGUCAGCCAAAGUUGAGGAAAAGAUUCCUUCACCUGAACUCAGCCCACUUCCACUGAUUCCUUCGCUACAGCCCUUUUUAUUGUCAGCAAGCAAUCAUUCAUGAAUAUGGAAUUACAAAUACACGUGACAUUCUUAAGCAGGCAUCUCUGAACAACAUCAGUGUCUGUAUUCUGUGUGUGUGGGUGUGUGUAGGUGCAUGUGUGUGUGUGUGUGUGUGUGUGUGUUUCCAGCCAUAUGUAACCCAGUUCCUAAAAUCAUCUCAAACAAAAGAGAAGAAAAAGUAAAACAUUUUAUGUUCAUUGUUCCUGUUCUUACUGUCCUUGUUUAAUGAAAGUGAAACGAGAUCAAAAUAUUUAUUUAAACAUGGAAGGGACGCAGAUUAUAUAUGAUAUGCUCUGGUCAAACAAAAGUUAAGUUUCUCCGAGGGUUGAUGAGCUCUGAUGAGAGCCUAUUGUUUUACUCCACUCCUCGCAUGUCAACCAAUCGGUGAAGCUCUAGGCAGCUCUUGUCCCUCCUUAGUGCCAGCUCCCAAGUUUUCAGUCUCUUGCUUCUACAGCCGAACAGAGCAGGCGGACUAAAACUUUGCUAUCGAGGGCAGAGCGAAACCGGAAGGUUUACUGAGCUGUGGCUUCACGUAAACGCUGAGCAUCCACUCGACGGCGGUCAGGUUUUUUAUAUGGGAUGAAUCCAAAGAUCAGGUCAGCGAUUCCAGAACCCAGAGUGUUCCAGUGUUCACUGGAUGGCGAGCCAACCCAAGAUCCUAGGAGACAAUAUACAUACACACGCACACUCAUUUGCACAUUGAUGGACUACAAUCCUCUACUGUACAAGUAGUACGGUAGGACAGACAAUCACACACACACUCCUCAUUGGACGGACUCUAAUGCGAUACGCCCGUUUGUCAUGGGCCCCACCGGUACCAUUUGGACUUAAAAGACUAAUACUUUUACUUGUGCACAAUUUUAUUUUAUUCUAUUGUUUUGCUACUUUGGGGGAAAUUUUUAUACUUGAAGUUCUGUUAAACCUGUUGUAAUUCAGUGUUGGUUACAAAAUUCUUUUAAAAGGCUUAACAUCACUAAAGUACUUUAAAGCCACACAACUGUGUUUGUGUGGUUUCUCUACCAUUCAUGUACCAGAGCUCUAAGAGUCGUUCUUAAUCUUCUGAUACUAGCCCAAAUUACUCAUUACC